rnacentral:tRNA from 1 species
GGCGGGAUACUCAAGUUCGGUUCAAGAGGCUGUUUUGCUAAAACAGUAUGGGCUACGGCCUGCGCAGGUUCAAAUCCUGCUCCUGCCG